AAUGAGCGUUGGCGGCGUGGAUUAGGCAUGCAAGUCGUGCGGAAAGGCUCCUUCGGGAGUACUCGAGCGGCGCAAGGGAGAGUAACGCGUGGAUAUCUACCCCCUGGACUGGGAUAGCGGCGGGAAACUGCCGGUAAUACCAGAUAAUGUCUGCGGACCAAAGGUGUGAUUCCGCCGGGGGAUGAGUUCGCGUCCUAUUAGCUAGUUGGUAGGGUAAUGGCCUACCAAGGCAAAGGUGGGUACCGGGUGUGAGAGCAUGGCCCGGCUCACUGGGACUGAGACACUGCCCAGACACCUACGGGUGGCUGCAGUCGAGAAUCUUCGGCAAUGGGCGCAAGCCUGACCGAGCGACGCCGCGUGCGGGAUGAAGGCCUUCGGGUUGUAAACCGCUGUCAGAGGGGAGGAAAUGCGUGAGAGUUCUCUCUCACGUUUGACCUAUCCUCAGAGGAAGUACGGGCUAAGUUCGUGCCAGCCGCCGCAGUAAGAC
rnacentral:rRNA from 1 species